GACGAACGCUGGCGGCGUGCUUAACACAUGCAAGUCGAGCGGUAAGGCCCUUUCGGGGGUACACGAGCGGCGAACGGGUGAGUAACACGUGGGUGACCUGCCCUCAGCUCUGGGAUAAGCCUGGGAAACCGGGUCUAAUACCGGAUAUGACUCCAUGACGCAUGUUGUGGGGUGGAAAGCCUUGUGCGGCUGAGGAUGGGCCCGCGGCCUAUCAGCUUGUUGCGGGGUGAUGGCCUACCAAGGCGACGACGGGUAGCCGGCCUGAGAGGGCGACCGGCCACACUGGGACUGAGACACGGCCCAGACUCCUACGGGAGGCAGCAGUGGGGAAUCUUGCGCAAUGGGCAAAGCCUGACGCAGCGACGCCGCGUGAGGGAU
rnacentral:rRNA from 1 species